GCCGAGUUUUCGCUUUUAUAACGGUUAGGUGAACAACUGGGCCUGGUACUAGUUGUCUGCGCAUGCGUCAGUCGUUCGUCAGAUUCUGACGAAUGGAUAUUCUCGUUCACUUUCGUGACAUUUAUAUUCGUGUACUAUCGUGUACUAGAAGUCAGUUCCCGUUUUAUCAUUAUUGGAAUCGAUUGGAAUGGCUCUUAGCUGAAGCUUCUCUCUUCUCUGAAGCUUAUUCUGAAGACUGAACAACAAGGGAAGAGGUAUAAAGCUUUGUCAAGCUUGUUAAGGUCAGAUAUUUUUGUGUGGGCCCUAUGGCUAUGCUAUCAAGUCUUGUUCAUGUUUGGCAAGAUCUACCGGUACGUAGGUAGACUAUAUAUAGUUUCAUCAUUAAUAUGGUGGAUCAAGUGAAGAGUGUGAGCUAGAGAACUUGGUGCUGCCAUCAUCAGCUCGUCGACAAUGACACUAUAACCGAGAAAUUUAAUAUGUAUAGAUCUACACGUAUUUAAAAUGUCUACUUCUCUGUACAGGAUCUAGGAGCAAUGGCUAAUAUCCAGCUAUCCCAACAGUGCUCCUCUUGGCUAUACUAACGGACGAGACUGGACAGUUUGAGGACUGGAGUAUGACCUGCUCAUUCGAACGUUGCUGGAUAGCUCAGAGACAUCAAGAGAAUCUACGUUUUCUCAAGCAAAAUUUAACUGAGCUACGAGUUGGGGCCUAGAAUCAGAGAAGUCCAGCAGCCUGCUAAAUCUUUUUGAAACGUAAUUUGAAGGCAUUCAUUCAUCCUGAAGUUGCCCUGGGUCACUGUAAUUGUGCUGCAGCACAACUGGCAACUCCCCAGGCCUUUGUGAAGCAGCUCCCUAUGUGCAUCUUUUGUGUACUCACUCUGUGCAUUUUCUGUGUACAAAUUUCGAUUAUUGAUUUAUUAAAUAUUUUUGCCGACCACAAA